rnacentral:rRNA from 1 species
AUAAACUGCUUGGGAAACUGAUAGUCUGGAGUGAGGGAGAGGCAGAUGGAAUUGGUGGUGUAGGGGUAAAAUCCGUAGAUAUCACCAAGAAUACCCAUUGCGAAGGCGAUCUGCUGGAACUCAACUGACGCUAAGGCGCGAAAGCGUGGGGAGCAAACAGGAUUAGAUACCCUGGUAGUCCACGCCCUAAACGAUGUACACUAGUUGUUGGGGUGCUAGUCAUCUCAGUAAUGCAGCUAACGCAUUAAGUGUACCGCCUGGGGAGUACGGUCGCAAGAUUAAAACUCAAAGGAAUAGACGGGGACCCGCACAAGCGGUGGAGCAUGUGGUUUAAUUCGAAGAUACGCGAAGAACCUUACCUGGGCUUGAUAUCCUAAGAACCUUUUAGAGAUAAGAGGGUGCUAGCUUGCUAGAACUUAGAGACAGGUGCUGCACGGCUGUCGUCAGCUCGUGUCGUGAGAUGUUGGGUUAAGUCCCGCAACGAGCGCAACCCACGUAUUUAGUUGCUAACGGUUCGGCCGAGCACUCUAAAUAGACUGCCUUCGUAAGGAGGAGGAAGGUGUGGACGACGUCAAGUCAUCAUGGCCCUUAUGCCCAGGGCGACACACGUGCUACAAUGGCAUAUACAAUGAGACGCAAUACCGCGAGGUGGAGCAAAUCUAUAAAAUAUGUCCCAGUUCGGAUUGUUCUCUGCAACUCGAGAGCAUGAAGCCGGAAUCGCUAGUAAUCGUAGAUCAGCCAUGCUACGGUGAAUACGUUCCCGGGUCUUGUACUCACCGCCCGUCACACCAUGGGAGUUGAUUUCACUCGAAGCCGGAAUAUA